UGGGGAAUCUUGCGCAAUGGGCGAAAGCCUGACGCAGCCAUGCCGCGUGAGUGAUGAAGGCCUUAGGGUUGUAAAGCUCUUUUACCCGGGAAGAUAAUGACUGUACCGGGAGAAUAAGCCCCGGCUAACUCCGUGC
rnacentral:rRNA from 1 species